CCGGAAGUGUCUGUGCUGGCGCCACGCGCGCUGAGGUCGCCAGGCGCCAAGACAGGAGGGAGCCGAUGGUGGGGAGGGGAGAGGAAUGAUUCCGAAGAUUCCAGGGAAUCGCUUGAUCAGACCUGUGUCUGUUGUGGAUCCCCAGCAGGAGCUGGCCUGGAGAUGCCGGAGCCAGCCUUGCUCUCCGAGGCUUCCUCUGCGAACAAUGCCAACAUUGAAGGCCUCGGUUGGAGUCUGCACAGUUGGAGAUCUUUGGUGCCACUUUAGACAUCUUUGGAUUUCAUCAAUCAAAUUGACUGCAAUUUUCCAUAAAAACCCUGAAUUUGGGUCAGAAAGUGGGCAAAGUAGAUAAAGAUCAUUCGAGCUGUCUUAUAAGAUGAUAAAUAGAUAUCCUUUCAGGCCAACAAUGCCAAAGUGCAGUUUUGUGAUUCCCUUCCAUGGGUUCUGAAUGCAGUGAGUCGAAACGAUUUAUACAUGUUUUCCCAUGGUCCAGGACACGUCUUUACAUACUCG
rnacentral:lncRNA from 1 species